rnacentral:rRNA from 1 species
CGCUGGCGGCGUGCUUAACACAUGCAAGUCGAGCGAUGAAGCACCUUCGGGUGUGAAUUAGCGGCGAACGGGUGAGGAACACGUGAGAAAUCUGCCUUCAACUCUGGGAUAACUGCUAGAAAUGGUAGCUAAUACCGGAUACGACCCUCGGAGGCAUCUCCAGGGGGUGGAAAGAAUUUCGGUCAAGGAUGGACUCGCGGCCUAUCAGCUAGUUGGUGAGGUAAAGGCUCACCAAGGCGACGACGGGUAGCCGGCCUGAGAGGGUGACCGGCCACACUGGGACUGAGAUACGGCCCAGACUCCUACGGGAGGCAGCAGUGAGGAAUCUUCCACAAUGGACGAAAGUCUGAUGGAGCAAUACCGCGUGCAGGAAGACGCUUUUCGGAGUGUAAACUGCUUUUGUCGUCGAAGAUUAUGACUGUAGACGAAGAAUAAGGACCGGCUAACUACGUG